AUGGCGGCUCCUUCUGGCUGGAUUGAGGCGCGGAGACCCAUGCUCCCCUCAUCUGGAGAGUUCUAUUAUCAGACCAGGUUCUGCGCGCAAAGCUAUUGUCAACAAAGGGAUGCCUCCGUGUCCCACGGGAACCUUGAGAAGCUUGUGCCGACUAUAUGGCAGCAACUGUUCGAGUGGGAAGCUGCUAUUUACAAUGGAUGCAUGCAAAUACUGCACGCAAAGGUAUUUUUGACGAAGGGAUGCCGAUGUGUCUCACAGGAAGCUCGAGAAGCUGGUGCCGACUAUAGGAUGUUGCAAGAUAUGCGCCAGACAAACAACAACCGGAUGCCGACAUGUCCGCGUAGAAUCUGCAACCAACGACAAAAUGCAUCAAGGCCAGUGUGA
rnacentral:rRNA from 1 species